rnacentral:rRNA from 1 species
UUUUAUUUGAGAGUUUGAUCCUGGCUCAGGAUGAACGCUGGCGGCGUGCCUAACACAUGCAAGUUGAGCGAUUUACUUCGGUAAAGAGCGGCGGACGGGUGAGUAACGCGUGGGUAACCUACCCUGUACACACGGAUAACAUACCGAAAGGUAUGCUAAUACGGGAUAAUAUAUUUGAGAGGCAUCUCUUGAAUAUCAAAGGUGAGCCAGUACAGGAUGGACCCGCGUCUGAUUAGCUAGUUGGUAAGGUAACGGCUUACCAAGGCGACGAUCAGUAGCCGACCUGAGAGGGUGAUCGGCCACAUUGGAACUGAGACACGGUCCAAACUCCUACGGGAGGCAGCAGUGGGGAAUAUUGCACAAUGGGCGAAAGCCUGAUGCAGCAACGCCGCGUGAGUGAUGAAGGCCUUCGGGUCGUAAAACUCUGUCCUCAAGGAAGAUAAUGACGGUACUUGAGGAGGAAGCCCCGGCUAACUACGUGCCAGCAGCCGCGGUAAUACGUAGGGGGCUAGCGUUAUCCGGAUU